AUUGAACGCUGGCGGCAUGCCUUACACACGCAAGUCGAACGGCAGCGGGGGAGAAGCUUGCUUUUCCUGCCGGCGAGUGGCGAACGGGUGAGUAAUACAUCGGAACGUGCCCUGUAGUGGGGGAUAACUAGUCGAAAGAUUAGCUAAUACCGCAUACGACCUGAGGGUGAAAGUGGGGGACCGCAAGGCCUCAUGCUAUAGGAGCGGCCGAUGUCUGAUUAGCUAGUUGGUGGGGUAAAGGCCUACCAAGGCGACGAUCAGUAGCUGGUCUGAGAGGACGAUCAGCCACACCAGGACUGAGACACGGCCCAGACUCCUACGGGAGACAGCAGUGGGGAAUUUUGGACAAUGGGCGAAAGCCUGAUCCAACAAUGCCGCGUGUGUGAAGAAGGCCUUCGGGUUGUAAAGCACUUUUGUCCGGAAAGAAAUGGCUCUGGUUAAUACCUGGGGUCGAUGACGGUACCGGAAGAAUAAGGACCGGCUAACUACGUGCCAGCCGCCGCAGUAA
rnacentral:rRNA from 1 species